AGCGAACGCUGGCGGCAGGCUUAACACAUGCAAGUCGAGCGGGCGUAGCAAUACGUCAGCGGCAGACGGGUGAGUAACGCGUGGGAACGUACCUUUUGGUUCGGAACAACACAGGGAAACUUGUGCUAAUACCGGAUAAGCCCUUACGGGGAAAGAUUUAUCGCCGAAAGAUCGGCCCGCGCCUGAUUAGCUAGUUGGUGAGGUAACGGCUCACCAAGGCGACGAUCAGUAGCUGGUCUGGGAGGAUGAUCAGCCACAUUGGGACUGAGACACGGCCCAACUCCUACGGGAGGCAGCAGUGGGGAAUAUUGGACAAUGGGCGCAAGCCUGCUCCAGCCAUGCCGCGUGAGUGAUGAAGGCCCUAGGGUUGUAAAGCUCUUUUGUGCGGGAAGAUAAUGACGGUACCGCAAGAAUAAGCCCCGGCUAACUUCGUGCCAGCAGCCGCCGUAA
rnacentral:rRNA from 1 species